rnacentral:rRNA from 1 species
GUCCACGCCCUAAACGAUGUCGACUGGUUGUUGGGGUUUGACACUCUCAGUAACGAAGCUAACGCGUGAAGUCGACCGCCUGGGGAGUACGGCCGCAAGGUUAAAACUCAAAGGAAUUGACGGGGACCCGCACAAGCGGUGGAUUAUGUGGAUUAAUUCGAUGCAACGCGAAAACCUUACCUACCCUUGACAUGUCCGGAAGGCUGCUGAAAGGCGGCUGUGCCCCGAAAGGGAACUGGAACACAGGUGCUGCAUGGCUGUCGU